UCUUAGGAUAGGCGAGUAUAAAAUUUAAAAAACAAGGCACCCAUGCUCUCUGACUUUCCAUAAUGGGAAGAACACUGUGAAGACGUUGAUCAAAGAUAUGCAGCUUUAUUAAAUAAAUGGCAACUGGAUUUUAUUUCAGGUAAAGCUAAUUCAUUUAAAUAGUUUUAUAAAAUAUUGCUAACUGCUAUAAUAGUGAUUCAAUUUGUCUUAAAUUCUAAUGCAGGGCAGUGAUUGGUUACCAAUUGAUUCAUUCUCACCCCUCUUGAGUUUCCUUCUGUCAGUGUGACAGGAGAAGUUGGAGGCUCUGAGCUCAACAUGGCCAGGCAGAGGGAGGAUACUGAACAUGUAGCCACGUUGACCCAUACUGCUUAGUGAUGGGAUGAACACCAUCCGCAUCUAGAGGAGGAAAAGGAUUCAAUGCCUUCGAAUCGAGGUUCAAUAUCAGAACAUGCCAAGAGCGCAGACACCACAAGACAUCUAUCCCGACAUUCAACCUGAACAGUUCCAGAAAGAUGAAUUAAAGGAGGACGAGGUGUUCACCUUUAACUUCAACUUGUUCAUGACUGGUCCUGGUCAGUUCCUGGAUGGGAGACCAGAUGCUGCUGGAAGGGGUGUUGGAGGGCCAGUAGGAGGCACUCUUUCCUCUGGUCUAAAAAAAUAUCCCAAUGCCCCAGGGCAGUGAUUGGGGACACUGCCCUGUGUCGGGUGCCGUCUUUCGGAUGGGACGUUAAACGGGUGUCCUGAC
ensembl:lncRNA